CACGUAGGCGGCAUGACAAGUCUGGUGUGAAAUAUCUCGGCUCAACCGAGAAAACACACUGGAAACUGUCAAGCUUGAGUAUCGGAGGGGAAGCUAGAAUUCCUGGUGUAGGGGUGAAAUCUGUAGAUAUCAGGAAGAAUACCGGUGGCGAAGGCGAGCUUCUGGCCAGAUACUGACGCUGAGAUGCGAAAGCGUGGGGAGCGAACAGGAUUAGAUACCCUGGUAGUCC
rnacentral:rRNA from 1 species